UCUGCAGCAAUCUUAGUCAGUUGCUCGAUAGAAGGGCUAAGUACUAUUCCUCGCUCUCUUUGGCCUGUCCUUCGCUCGGCAAGAUCUUAAGUCUAAAUAACUGAUCCUGAGAGGUUGCUCUGCCUUUUACAUCAUCUGCAGCCCGAUGUCGGGACAAGCUAGGAGUAAAUGGUAUCAAUGGUAUGCAAUGCUAUAGUGCUCGUCGGAUUUUUUGGUCCUACUACAAGGAAGAUAAAACUGGCAAAAGCUUUAUAUUUACCGGCUGCUCGAGUAGUACUAAUCUUUUCGCCACUCAAGAAGAGUGCGAAAGAGCGUGCGCUUAAACAGUUGGAAAAAUAUAAAUAUUGUGAUAUGAAUAAAUGAAACUGUGGCGUGGCAUUUGUAUCUUUCGUGUGUAGCCUCUUAAAAGGAGUGAACAAUGUUGAGCUGCCUUAAUGACUGACAAGCUGACAGUAUUUAGGCAGCGCCUUUAUCUUUGAUCUCCCGUCACUGUUUAAUUGAACAGCCUCUUAAAGAGUUGGAGCAUUGAUCAGAUUUGCGCAGAUAUAUAUCUGUAUGUCUGUAUGUAUCUGUGUCCAUAUGAAGCGUGGGAUAGUUUUAAGCCUUGCAAUUCCUCACUGCCAAAUAGUGUCUCCAAUUCAAUUCGAUUCUGUUUUGCUUUGCCUAUGUGCAGAAUCAGCUAUGGGUUCGACUUGAUUUAUACACAAACUAGUACAGACAAACAUAGAUUAGUAUAUAUAGUUAGUUGUUGCUCGAUAGAAGGGCUAAGUACUAUCAAAAAUGAGGUUCGCAGCUGCUCUUUUCCUAUUUCUCGCUCUCCUUUGCCUGUCCUUCGCUCGGCGAGAUCGCAGAUGUCUCGACAGGCCAGGAAUGAAUGGUAACAAUGUUUGGAUAUGCUUUGCUGCUCCUAGUCCUGCUUGGUCCUACUAUCAGAAUAAUGAAACAUGUCUAAGCAUUUUUUAUACUGGCUGCUCGUGCAGUCGUAAUGUAUUCUUCAGUAAAAUAAGUUGCUUGAUGGCGUGCAAGUGGCGGCUAGGCUAAAUUUGAUAAUAUGAAUAAGUCAGCUUGUUUUAUGAA